rnacentral:rRNA from 1 species
GAUGAACGCUGGCGGCGUGCCUAAUACAUGCAAGUCGAGCGAACAGACAAGGAGCUUGCUCCUCUGACGUUAGCGGCGGACGGGUGAGUAACACGUGGAUAACCUUCCUAUAAGACGGGGAUAACUUCGUGAAACCGGAGCUAAUACCGGAUAAUAUAUUGAACCGCAUGGAUCAAUAGUGAAAGACGGUUUUGCUGUCACUUAUAGAUGGAUCCGCGCCGCAUUAGCUAGUUGGUAAGGUAACGGCUUACCAAGGCAACGAUGCGUAGCCGACCUGAGAGGGUGAUCGGCCACACUGGAACUGAGACACGGUCCAGACUCCUACGGGAGGCAGCAGUAGGGAAUCUUGCGCAAUGGGCGAAAGCCUGACGGAGCAACGCCGCGUGAGUGAUGAAGGUCUUCGGAUCGUAAAGCUCUGUUAUUAGGGAAGAACAAAUGUGUAAGUAACUAUGCACGUCUUGACGGUACCUAAUCAGAAAGCCACGGCUAACUACGUG